UGGUGACUGCAUUUACAAGAAGCACUUG
rnacentral:piRNA from 1 species